GCCUCUGUAGCUUAACGGACAAAGCAAUAGUCUUCGGAACUAUUGAUGGGGGUUCAAUUCCUCCCAGAGGCA
rnacentral:tRNA from 2 species